CGGAGUUCAGUCUUCCCAGGCCCACCACUUUCAUCGAGUGAGCAUUCGUCUUCUGGUUACGGGGCCAUAGCUCAGCUGGGAGAGCGCGUGCUUUGCAAGCAUGAGGUCGUCGGUUCGAUCCCGUCUGGCUCCACCAGAUGGUUUGAUCACCGAGAUCUUGACCGUCGUCCGCGAAACAUCACUUCGCAUCCUGCUAGUCUGGAUAGACAGCAGUUUGCGUGUUUUCUGACAUCGUAAAGAGGAGAUCGAUCCGAGUUGGGUCGUGCAGCAUAUCGUUGCGCGAGCCUUCAUUAUCUCCGGAUCAUUUCGGCGCUCGCUUCCAGCCGUGAGGUUGGAUGCGGGUUGUAAAUGAUCCUUUUAGCGAAGCUUGACCGCCUCGCUAUCGGAACGAUCUUACGAAGCAAGCUGGUCUUUCUAGUCAAUGUCCGGCUGCGGAUAGCGUUCAUCGAGGGCGCGUGCCGCAAGGCAAUUCUGCAGACAACAUUCUGCCGAGUGUGUGGACAUUGAUAAUGAGAGCAAUCAAGUGCCUUAAGGGUGUUCGGUGGAUGCCUUGGCGCUGAGAGGCGAUGAAGGACGUGCUACGCUGCGAUAAGCCGUGGGGAGCUGCGAAGAAGCUUUGAUCCGCGGAUUUCCGAAGG
rnacentral:misc_RNA from 2 species